CAUGAGUCUGAAGCCUUGGGGGUCUUGGCACGACCAUGCUCAUGUCAUGAACGCUCAUUCUUCUACUGGUACACUUGCUCCCUCACACACACACUAGAUACUCUUCCCUAAUUCCGUCGUGGAGUAGUUCUUCCACACACUUCUUUCCCAAACGUCUUUAUCAACUUUUCAACCAAUUCCAAGGCCUUGACCUUCUCCCUACACCAUUUUCUGUAGCCCAUGGCUUGGUGUAAAGUCACACAUUUGGCCAUUUUUCUCUCUAAGGCCAAUUCAUGACCAAGUACAUGUUCCACAGUUCUGCCCACUGUGAAGAUUCCCCAUCACCACCAUCCUCAGGGAUAUCUAGAAAGGUCCUAUAAUGCAAGAGUUGUCCACUUUCAAGUAGUGUUUGCUGGUAUCAGGAACUGCUCUUGCCUCCAGCAGUGAUGUCACCUGGUCGUCUGCAUAUCUGUUGCCAUGACAACGGCCAUAAUUCCCAGCAUACAUUGGUGAAGCUCCCACUUUCACCUGGGAGCAGUUGCAUCACAGUUCAAAUAAAAGGUCUUACUGAGUCUGCUGUGUCAACGGGCCUGGGGGACAAAGAAGCCUGCACAGUAGCCUGGACCUGCUGUAGAGUCUUCUCUUCCAUUCUGGGCUCACCCAAACCAACAGCUUUUCCAGUCACAAAGUCUUUAUAACACCUGAGAGAAGAAUGUGUUGCCUCAAAAUCCAAACAGAUGAAAACAACUGCUUCAGGUGUGCUAUGUGGGCAAGCACAGAGAGCAAAGACACUUGCUAGAUUACCAACUGCAUACAGGUCCUACAUACAGGAGACAUUAUUAAUCUGCUCAAGCAGAGAAAUAACAUCUGGUAAGUGGUGCAAUUGGAGUCACUACUUGACUAAGCUAAUGGCAGACCAUCUGGCUUCUGCAAAGGCCGAAGAGAGCUAGCUAGACGGUUAAAAACUACCACUUAGGUUUCCUUUAAGGUCUGUGUGAUAGUACUUAGCUCAGCAACCUCUCUGGAGAUGCAAUUUUUGUUUUGAUUUUCUCAGACAGAAGAAUCCCUGAUGCUUUUCCUCAACAGCCUUGUGGUGGUUUGCAUAUGCUUGGCCCAGGGAGUGGCACUAUUAGAAGGUGUGGCCUUGUUGGAGGAAGUGUGUCACUGUUGGGUGUGGGCUUGGAGACCCUCUUCCUAGCCGCCUGAGGAUGCUCAGUCCAUUCCUGGCUUCCUUCAGAUGAAGAUGUAGAACUCAGCUCCUCCUGCACCAUGCCUGCCUGGAGGCUGCCAUGUUCCCACCUUGGUGAUAAUGAACUGAAUCUCUGAACCUGUAAGCCAGCCCCAAUUCAAUGUUGUCCUUUAUAAAAUUUAUAUUGGUCAUGGUGUCUGUUCACAGCCAUAAGACCCUAACUAAGACAAGCCUCCACUUCACAAGCCAUAAAGAAGCACUGUGGGACUCGGCCAGCUGUGAGAGUAUUUAUUGCAGUUGUGCAUCUUGGGAAAUAACCAUUAAGAAUAGGGACCCAGUAGAUCCAUUGUGAGUCGACUGUGGCUAAAACCCCCAUGAACAUCUGACCUCUAGCAGCCCCCAGCUUCAACUGGAGGACAGUGGUGCUGUUUGUGACCUCCCUGAAUCAACAUGUGUUCAGAGCUGGUGUUCAGCAGGCUAGGAAAGGUUGGGUCUCAGUUCUUCUUUCCUUUUUCUCAGUGUGGCUUUAUCCUGAAAAGAAAAAAUAGGGCUGUGGGUCCUUGAGGAGAAUGGGAGAAAGUUUAACUGUGUAACUAUUUGGUAGUGCACCAGCAACCCUCCUCGAGGCAACCUGGCCUCCUUUCUAUUCAAGGGGUGGUGAGUUUAUAAACUGGCUCAAGACUGGAGGUUGACUGAGGGUCAUGGUUCAAGAAAGAUACCUGUUCUCUAGAAAGAAAUCAAUUUCUCUGCUUAUACAGAUCAAGAAGUCAUUUAGUAGGCUUCCUACCUAUUUACCUCCGAGAAGACCAUGAUUAAUCAGCCAAGGCCAUUGGUCUACUUGAAUGAGACUGUGGGGAUCACUGCUUUGCCGCCACUGCUCAGCACGUUACUCUUGUUCAACUUGUCUUUGCCACCCGCCACACUUUGAGUUAAAUUCAGAUUCUGUCUUGGGGGGAACUCGAACUUCACUAAGCCAAUUUCACUUCAUUGUUAGACCUUUCAAAGAAGGUUUGCUGCUCACAACAACCGGUUUAAUGUCACAGCGUUAGAUUAUCCUUGAUAUCGCAACAGAAGGAAAAUUUUAAACUUAGAGAGUUUGAUUCCAGAACCUCAUGGAGUGGUGAUGCUCUUGUUCAGUUCUGCCUUCCUAGGCUCAAUAUACAAGUCAAGUAAUACGGUGGCUUGAUCAUGGCUUGUCUCCUCUGACAGUUGAAAUCUGAUACCACUGGGACUUGUUGGGUCAUAGGACCUAGUGGGCUAUGGGGCUGCAGCCCUUGAGACUAGGCUGCUGCUUUUCACACAGGAAUAGAUUAGAUACUACAGCAGUUCAGCACUCCCUCCUUUUUAUCUUCCACGUGUACCGUUGGUUCUGGUUUUCACCAGGGGCUGGAGAAGCUGAGCGGAUGUUUGUGCUGUGCUUCUGGACUCCCCAAACUGUGACCACAGUAAACUUCUUUCUUUUAUAAGUUAUCCAGUUAUUCUUUUAUAGCAAAGAGAAACAGACUAAGGCAUUCUUUAAAGGAAACAAUUCUUUGAUUUUCUUGAGUAAAUAGUUUUUAAAGUAUGUUCAGGUUUUCUCAGUACCAGUCGACCUAUUUAUUUUUCUCUCUAAUUCAUCAUUAUCAGUGUCUGCUCUGAGCCUGGGUCUAAACUUCUCCUCUCAUAAAAGGUGGGUUUUUUCUUUUAUUAUUAGUGGUGUGUGUGCAUGCUGUGUAAGUACAGAUGUGAACGUGCCAGGGCACUUGAGUAGAGGUCAAAGGCAGUUUUUAGGAGUUGGCUGUGAGUCUGGGAACAGAACUCAGAUUGUUAGGUUUCCAUAGCAAGUGCUUUUACCUGCCCAGCCAUCUGACCAGCCCCAAAGACUAACUACCUUUCUGUCUGUCUAUCUGCCCAUCUGUCUCUCCAUCCAUCCAUCUAUCCACUGUCUGUCUACCCAUCUGUCUGUCUCUCUGUCUGCCCAUCCGUCUGUCUGUCUGCCCAUCCGUUUGCUUGUCUCUCUAUGUAUUUGAGUGGUUCUCACUAUGUGCCCCUGGCUGUCCUGGAACUCAUAUGAAGGCCAGGCUGGGAUUCAAUUCACAGAGAUCUGCCUGCUUCAGUCACCCAAGUGCUGGGACUAAAGGUGUGCACUAGCACACCUGGCAUGGUCUUAUUUUUAAACAGAGAAUUUUGCAUCCUUGAGUCAGAUAGAUACUAUCUUUAUUUUGGAAGUGAAUUUACGGUUCAUAUUUGAAUCAUUAAAUAGCUACAAGCAAGCCUCCUGGGUUCAAACUUAUAUGGACUUAUACUUAAAGGGAAUGUCUGUUUUGAUGUGCUUCUGAAGACAUUUUAGAAUAGUCUGAAAUUUUAGGUCCUACAGAUAUGUGACUGUGUAGGUCAUACUGCUAAGAUCAAAAUUGCUUAAUCUUUGAUAUGACUGUUUUUAUCCAUAUUUCAGAGAUUUGUGGGUCAAUGUAUAUACAAAAAACAAGCAAACCAAACAGUCAACAUCCCAGGCUACCUCUCAACAACACACAGCGGAAGUUGCUAUUUUAGGGGUAUAUUGUGGGUUCUUGUCACUGACGGCAGAGAUCACUGAUGGCAUGGACUAAGAAGAAAGUAGUCUGGACGGGGUGCAUUUACUGAUAGAGUCAUUUCUAGCAAGCAUGAAGUCCUGGGUGCGAGCCGCAGCACUUCAUGAACCAGACGUGUAGCACGUGCUUGUAAUUCCGGCACUUGGGAGGUAAAGGCAGGGGAAUUAAAAAAUUCAAGGCUAUCCUCAGCUACGCAGUGAGUUAAAGGCCAGCCUGGGCUACAGGAGACUUUGUCUCAGAAAAAAAAAAAAAGAAUAAACCCAAGAGAUACGAGAUACCUUUUCCCCUGAAUCAGUGCAUUCCACUCCCCCCCCCUUCCUCCAUCUGCCCUCCCUAUUGGCUCCCACCUGCAAUCCACUUCCUCUUAUUUCUUCCUGACUAGUGUAGUGAGCUUACAUGCCACAUGAGGCUGAGGAGAUACAGCAGAACUGGACUCAGGCUGCCACAAGUCUGCUUUGGCUGGACAGUGAGGCAGCCAUCAGAACAGCAGUCUCCCAUGACCUUCACACGACCUUCAGGGCUCCCUUGGUGUUUCUCACACACCUCUUCUCUUUCCUUUCUUAAAUGUGCCUCUUUGGAAAGUCAAGAAGAGGCAACUGACCCACUUUUAUCCAGCGUUGACCAAUGAGAAGUGGUGUGUACCUUCUCUGUGGUGUUUUAAUUUUAAUGCAGCACAACUCCAUGUGAUGGGGGGGAGGUUGGAGGCCAGGUAGAAGAGGGAAACUGAAAACUAGGGUGCUGAACUCACCCCACCUUAGGAUACUGUUUGGAGCAAUUGCAUCCCUGUGAACUCCUUCCAAGUGGGCCACGUCUUGUGAGGGCCAGAGUCUAUACUCUUCCAAUCGUGGAGACUCCAACCUCUGACUCAGGUGAUUUCUGCAGGGCAGCAAGGCUGGCUUCAGGCUUCUUUUCCUGGUUGUUUGUCUUCCCUUCCUAGGAGUCUCAUUUGUGGCUGGUGGAUAAGUUAGUCUCAACAUUGUGGGUCUUGGGUAGUUAUGUCUGCCUUUUUAAAUGAAAAGCCAGCUGGAGACUAUGGUGGACCAAUAGUCUAGGAACAGACAGCAUUCUCCAGUAUUUCUGCAGUCAGUUUGCUGGUGAGGACUCCUGGAGCAAACUAUCAGGAAAACGGUGGUGUUCGGGUCAUUUGUUUGUGUGUUUUUAUUCUUGGAAUGGUUUUCUUGAGAAGCUGAGGCUAUGUACGAUGUAAGGAGACUCAGAAGGGUCAGUCUUACAGAGCUGGAUUUGUUCCUGGAGCUCAGGAAGGGUCUUUUGGGAAACAGAGGAAGGCAGUGGACAGUGAAAGUGGGCAAAGAAGAUGGUGGAAUUUUGGAAUUGAUUGGGGGGUUUGGGGUGUGGGGAUGAACAAAUUGAGGAAGACGACUUAAGCUUAGACACCCACUUAAGCAGGGGUUUCAGGUAAGACCUGGACUUCCUGUGAAGAAAGGAGCAGCAUCCUGAGGUGACUUAGGGCUUCAGGAAUGAGGAUGGAGUUACACCAUCUGCCCAUAAUAAAAGAGGCUGUGUGAUUCGCCCUCUAAAUCUACAAAAGAAAGGCAUGUGUGUGUUAAAAUAUGGAGAGCAGGAGUUGUUGCUUUUAAUAGCAGAUUCAAAAUGACCAAAUCAAAGCCCUGGGCACCAUCUAGGGUCAUCUAAAUUGAAGUCUCUGAAUGGAAGGCAGGAUCCUUGGCACUGGGGGCAGAAGGUGGAAUCUGACAGCAUCAGUAACAACUACAAGCUGUGACACAGCAGAGAAACAGUCAGGUGGGGUGAGCAGAGAAAGAACCAACACUUCACUGACCUUCAUGUCCUUGUGAAGCAAGGGCCUCGCUGUGGGUGGGCAGGACACACAGCUGGGCCUCUUCUCCAGGCACUGGGGUGGCAAGCCAGCCCCACCUUCAGGACCAGACACUGAGAGUCUACACGAAGACCUGUUUGGAUGGAGCAGCAGUUUUUAACCCUGGAAAAACUACCAUGAAUAUUUCUUAGGAAUCUGUGUCAUCCUAUUAGUCUGAGAGGCACCUGUUAUAUAAGCUACUUUAUUUUCUGCCAUUUAAUGUGAAUUGUCAAUUCAGAAUCCUACUCCUGUGACUAUAUGAAAAUGUCCAACAGAGUCUGUUACUUAGAGCAUUGUCCCUUAGGGUUAAAAGUUAUUAUGUAAUUAAACUACACAUCCACAUUUGCAAUUCCCUCACCUUCCGUCAGUGAGAAAAGCUCACUUGGUUCAAGAAAGAUGCAUAGCUCUUACCAGUUCCCUGUAAAGUGUCAGUGCUUUAACAAGAGGAGACAUCGUAAAUGGGACCUCAUGGGCCAAGGAGAGGAAAAGCAGAAGGAGGAGCCAGUUUGGAGGGAAGAUAAUUAAGUUUUGUCUUAGACAUGGUAAGGAAAAGCUGAUGAUGGAAGAACCUAGCAGACCACAGGAGAGGUUGGAUUGGAGUUAAUAAUGGGGGUUUUCUGCUUAACAAUGGUCACUGGAGCCAUGAGGUCACCUACAUGGAUGUAAGUGAGAGAAGACAGACUGACUGACACAGAGGACAGUGAAGACUGCCACGGUUGAAAAGGAGCAAACUUAGAAAAAGAAUAUUGAGGAGAAGUGUGGAGCAGGAGAGAACUCACUUCAGUGUCAUCACAGAACUGGAGAAGUGGCCCACGGUGUCACAAGACCCUCAGGCUGGCAAAAAUUCUCAGAAUAUCUUACAAGGGAACCAUUUUAAUUAAGGCUCUGAGACUGGAAGGCUGUGUGUGUGUGUGUGUGUGUGUGUGUGUGUGUGUGUGUGUGUGUGUGUGCGUGUUGCUUUUGUAGUUUCCAAAGCUCUUCUUAAACAGUCUCUUAUUUCAUCCUCACAAGAAACUUCCAAAAGUGGGUUCCAGAAUUUCCAUCUCAAAGAUGAGGAUAUGAAAUUUUUGUAAGGGUCCAUGAUUCACUGAAGAGUGAUACCCUGGACUCAAAUUGUAUGUAAAAGCAAAGAGUAAUUUAUUCUGCAGAAGUCCAGCUGAAGGACCCUAGUUCUUACUGAAGCAUAAGAGUUAUUAGGAGGCUUGGCCUGGUAGAAAGUAGGUAGGUUAUGAGGACCCUAAGAGCUUUUGCCAGCUUUACACCCACUGCCUCAGGUCAAGAUUAGGCCAAGUACCAGCUUCCUGCCUUGGGUCAAGUCUAGGUCACGUUCUAUUCUCCAACCACAGUUCUCAGGAAGAACAGGGACAUUCUUGAAAAUCCAAAGAAUGUAUUGACAUAGUCACCUGACCCUCUGGUCCCAGAUAAAGUUUGAUUGCAUGUCAUAUGCUUGCUAGCCAAUAGAUUCAAAAGUCAAUAUGCUUAGCCAAUAAGUUUAAACUGUAACCUUGCUGAUGCAACCUGUACCCCUAAAAAGUAUAAAAACUGCUUGUUACAGCCAUUUGGUGUCACCUUCCAGCUACGAGUGGCUGAUCGAAGGUCAACCCCAACACGCUGGAAAAUAAACCUCUUACAUUUGCAUCGAACUCCAUUCUUGUGUCUCACUUGGGGGGUUUCCCAGUAGUUAAGACUCACUUCAAGCCUUACACAGCAUGUUGGGGUCUCCUAUUAUCAAGAUGGAGAUGACCAAGUGAGCUCACAGGCCUGAUAUAAAGCUCAUUAAGGGAAUUUCGGGGUAGGUAGCUUUUCUUUAAUCUUUUGGCUUUAUCUCUAGGGACGUUCUAGAAGCACUACUAGGACAUAGGGGGUUGGAAACUGUUGCUGGGCAAGUCUGGAAACUAUUUCUGACCCUUGCCUCAGGCCAUGUGGGGAGCAGCUUCUGAUGGCAGGGUGGUAUUUGUCUAACUGCUUGAAACCUGGGUUUUUUGUUUUUGUUUUUGUUUUUUCAGUAACUGACUUGCCUGGACUUGCCCAGUUCUUGGAAACAGAGAUUUGGGACUAGUCUCCUGAACUGCCAAUUUGAAGCCUAGCCUGUCUCAUUUUAAAGUUGUAACUUGCCUGAUCUCGUGAGAUCAAGGUGUUAAUCCCACCAAACAAGGGUAAAGACUAUUACCUAAAUUAUUUGGUCAAAUUUUCUGUCAAACAGGGCUGUCUCCCCAAAGUGGUGUUUGAGAAAAUUGCAUCGACUAUAGGAGACAGUGGGGUUUAUAACCCAAAAGACUGCAUAACUAAAGACUGCAUGACUAGGGGGUCUCAAGGGUUGGGAAAUUUCCAGAGGAAAUUUGGUUAUAUAGGAACUUGGUUGAACCCCUCCAAAUGAUUUGGCAGAAUAUCUUAUCAUCAGGGUGGAAAUUAGGGUAUCAAGUGUGGAACAUGUUAAAUUCCAGAAAAUUAGUCAAGACCUGGUCAAAUUCAAGUUUUACAGAAAACAGGAAUGAACUAAUUUUGACCUUGUAAUAAGAUGGCUUACAAUCUUAAGAUGCAGUCAGGCUGGUCCAUCAAUGGCUCUAAUCUUGUCUUGUCCUCUGCAUUUAGAGAUUUAACAUUAAAUCUACAUGACAUUAGAAGCAAUGCCCUUAAGGGAUGCUUCUGCUUUGGGCCAAAGUUGGAUGGAAAAAUGAUUACUUCUUAGAGAUAACAACUCUGUGCCUCUUUCAGCAAGGAGGAUGGCGGAUCAUGUGACUUGGAAGCAUGCAACAGAGAGAAUUCACUCUCUCUUACGGUAGAGUAGCCAGAGCAGGUGUCCCGGCAAUGUCAGCCUCAGGAGGUUCAUGACAGUUCACCGAGUGGUAACUGGGUACCAGGGACAGACUGCUAUCUAUCUAGGAGAUGACAGAAAGUGAAGGUAAGCAUUAUCACAUAGAUAUGUACAAUCUGUCACAAAUGGAAAAUUGUCCCAAGGAAACCACAAUUUAGAUAUUGUAGCCCUGAUGACAUCAUGGCAAGUAUAAUUGCCUUCUAUGUAAAUAUUGUUUCGGGCAGUGAUUAGCAUAUAUUUUUUAUUCUGAAUGGGUAAAUAUGAGUCAAACAAAAUGAACAAUUGAAUCAGUGAAUGGUAAUGGUUAAGAAUUUCCUGGGAUCAAGUAGUGUCCAUGGAGAAUUAAUAAAAAAGCAUAGGAUAUGUCUUGGGGGAGGUGUUAGUGGUAAAGACUGUGGUGAUUUGAUGGAGAAUGGCCCUCCCAGGCUCAUAGAUUUGGAUGCUUAGUCACCGGGAAGUGGCACUAUUAGGAGAUGCAGCCAUGUCGGAGGAAGUGUGUCACCAGGCGUGAGCUUUGGAGUUUCAAAAACCCAUGCCAAACCCAGAGUCACUCUCUUUUCCUGUUGUCUGUAGAUCAAAUAUAAAGCUUUCAGCUGCCUUUCUCUUCCUGCUGCUGCUUGUGGGUUCAAAUGUAGAUCCUAUCACUAAAUUAUCCCCAUCAGGAUCAUGGAUUAACCUUUGACUCUGUUAGCAAGUCCCAAAUAAUGCUUUCUUUUAUAAGAGUUUGCCAUGGUCAUGGUGUCUACUCAGCAAUAGAACAGACUAAGACAGGGAUUGAAGUGGGAUUCAAGGAGAGUAGUGUCUAGGGAUCUGGGUGGGUGUCACUAGGGUUUGGGGAGCACAGAGUAUGGGCAUAUAUGUUAGGAAGGCAUCCAAAAGUCUGCAAGGUGGAGCCAAGGCUUGAGAUCAGGAGGAGAGCUAGGGAAGGCAUCAGUCACCAGCUGGCUGCUACCUUGUCCUUUCAGAUCUUUGAAAUUGGAUCACAGAUGUUCACCAGGAUGAGACUGAAUGACAUUCUAAUUCAGAAAUAUCUCCAAGCCCAUUAUCCUGGCUCUGCUAUGGGGUCUUAAGGAACUUCUCUGCUCUAACAGCCUUCAAAAAUGUUUCCAAAGGAUGCGAGUGACAUGAAAAGAUUUGUUGUAAGGGAAUGUUAGAUUAAGCACUAUCAAUUUUUCUGGGGAAAAUGGAACUUUGAUAAUUAGUCAGGAACAGAACACGGUUUUAAAUGUUAGUCAAGCAAGACUUUGUAGUUUAAUUUGGGGGGGAGGUGGUUGGGGAGAGGAGAAAGCAAAGAAAUGUCACUCUUUUUGUAAAGCAUGAGUAUACACUUUUGCAUCCUGCCUGACAGGUAUCUGUCAUCUUUUAUUUUGUAAAGGCAAAUCAACAUUCACAAAAUCUCCCCUAACUUUAAUAUAAACUUCUGUUUCUCCCAUCAGAUUAAUUUAGUGGUUAAGAACACUUGGGGCCCCUCUAGAGGACUGGAGUUCCAUUCCCAGAACCUAUGUCGGGUGAUUUACAACCACCUGUAAAUUCAGUUCCAGGGGAUCUGCCACCGACUUCUGGUUUCAGUCACAAACACAAACCAUAUUCUUUUGUGUCAAUUUUUUUUUCCUGGGGAAAUACAACACUCACAACUAUUCACACCAGAUAGAGAACCCACAACAAACCAAAGUACAGAUACUACCGAAGUCCAACUUGGUGACUGAUGAGUUUUACUGGGGUUACUUACAGGAGUAUGGGUGAAGAAUUACAGGAGCAGAAAUGACUCAGAGACAGUUACAUCACCAAAGCCCACCCCAGCAUGAGCGACAGCUCGCGAAGCUGGGAACCUGGGAGCACUGCACAGACCACAGGCAGCUCAAUGGGCUGGAGUGUCUUUGCCAGGUGACUCAGCCUAGUCCUCUCCCAGGCAACUGGUCUGGUCUCAGCAUCUUCUUUGCAGGUGUGCUUGUAUGCUCACCUGCAUACUCAGCUCUCGUUUCUUACUUUGACAGGGAGAGGUCUAGUGGAUCUGGUCAGUCACAGGGACUUCCUGAAGGUAUUUUGAGUUGUUUACUGUGAUGGUUUGCAUAUGCUUGGCCCACAGAGUGACAUUAUUAAAAGGUAUGGUCUUGUUGGAGGAAGUGUGUCACUGUCGGGGUGGGCUUGGAGAUUCUCCUCCUAGCUGCCUGGGGAUGCUCAGUCUGUUCCUGGCUUCCUUUGAGUGAAGAUGUAGAACUCGGCUCCUCCUGCACCAGGCCUGCCUGGCUAGGCCUGACCAUGCUUUUGUUUGGAAGAAUGUGGAUUUUGGAACUUUAGAUUUGGAAAGCAGUGGAAUGCUUUAAAUGGGGUUUAAUGGGCUAUCUUGGUAGGAAUGCAGAAAGAAGUCUUUGUUAUUGAAAGUAAUUUGAACUGUUCAGACCUGGUCCAUGAUGGUUCCGUGAAGAAUUUCAGUAUGUGGCCUAAAGACUGCUUUUGUGGUAUUUUGGUCAAGAAUGUGGCUGCUUUUUGCCCUUGUCUGAAGAGUCUGCCUGAGGCUAAGGUGAAAAGACUUAGAUUAAUUGCUUUGAAAAAGGAAGUCUUAAAACAGCCUAGUGUAAAUUCUGUUGUGUGGUUACUAAAAUUCACUCUUAUGAAGAGCAUUUUAAUGAAAAAAGGGAAGUUAAGAAAGGAAAAAUACAAAAUACAUGGUUCAAGUAUUAAAGGGACACCCAGAACUGAAAUGGAGCUGAACCCUGUGUUCAAGGAUAUUAAAUUAAAUUAAGGGAGUAAUGACCUUGGGGCAAGAUCCCACCCAGAUAAAUUAGCUCCAGGCAACUAAGAACACACCUUUUAUCCCAAGAGACAGGCAUUCAGAUUUCUAAAUUCGAGGUUAAUGUACAGAGCAAGAUCUAGGACCCCCAAGCUUUUAGGCAGUGAAGGAGCUAAUGACAAUGUAAUAGAACAAGGGGGCCAUGUUCCAGCUCCUGCAAGCAGCAGAACUCAGCAGCUUCAGCCAUGUGUCUCUGGCUUUAUAUUUAAGAGAAGAAGGAGACAAUUGGUGCUGGUUAGCUGGGGCUAAGAAAGAGAUCAGCAUCACUGAGGUGAAAUCUUCUGGAAAGUGUAUUUUGAGAGCUGUGUUCCAGAGAUGCCAAGGUUGUACCUCAUGCUGUGGCUGGACUUGGUAGUGUAUAAGAGUCACCCAGGUGGUACUGGUUUUGAAGGCAUGAAGGGGUCAUGAAGAGCAGCUGAGGCUGGGCAUUGUGAGAGGCCAUGGAAGGCCAUUGGUGAAGGUGCAGCCUCAGUUGCAGUUGAUGGCCUAGGACUGAACGGGUCAAGCAAAGGAGUUGAGGCUUGGCACCAUGAAAAGAGCCUAGGAGAGGCUAUUGGUGAAGCCUAAAUGCAACGGAAGACCCCAGUGUACUGGAGACGCCAGUACCAUGGGAUGAUCACCAAGAACAACAUUAACAGUGUAGUGUGGAUCAACCUGCAGCUAAACUGCUACAGAGGGCAGAGCUGGAGAAGUGAAGCCAGCCCUUUGGAGGAUCAUGUGUGGAUCCCAGACAUUGAAACAAACUGUAACAUUGAAGCUGCCUUGGAGCCCCAAAGAUGUUAAAGAUGCCAGAGCCAUGUGCUAUCUGCUGAGGAAAGCUGCUAACAGGGAGUGGAACAAGAAGGAGAAAGAAGUUUGUUGUAGACAACAAAGAGGAAAAAGGAGUUAAAGAUCUGAAGACUGCUUUGACAACAGACAUGGAGAUGGCCGAGUUUGAAGUUUGCCCAGCUGGUUGCCUGUCUUAAUUCAGGAAUUACAGUUAAGUGAUUAGAUAGACCUCAGAAGAGACUUUGAACUUUGGACUUUUAACAUUGUUGAUACUGCUAUAGAGUAUGGGGACUUUGAAAGUUGGACUAAAUGUAUUUUUUAUUAUACUAUGUUUAGAUAUGGCCUCCAUAGGCUCAUGUGUUGGAACAAGCCUAUGAAGGCCAGGGAGUGGAAUGUGUUGGUUUGCAUAUGCUUGGCCCAGGGAGUGGCACUAUUAGAAGGUGUGGCCUAGGUGCAGGAAGCAUGUCACUGUGUGGGUGGGCUUGGAGAUCCUCCUCCUAGCUGCCCGGGGAUGCUCAGUCUGUUCCUGGCUUCUUUUGGGUGAAGAUAAAUAGAACUCAGCUCCUCCUGCACCAUGCCUGUUUGGAUGCUGUCAUGCUCCCGCCUUGAUGAUAAUGGACUGAACCUCUGAACCUGUAAGCCAGCCCCAAUUAAAUGUUGUCCCUUAUAAAACUUACAUUGGUCUUGGUGUCUAUUCACAGCAAUAAGACCCUAAUUAAGACAUUUACCUUCUUGUUUAAAGAGCUUCUGUGCAGAAUGAAAUGUUUCAAUCUCAGAGGAAACUGUUACACAAUGCAUAUUCCCAGAUACAUGCACAAAAACAUAAAUUUAAAAACCAGUUGGAAAAUUAACAAAAGAUAAAAGUCUUAACAUCAUGGGAAAUUACUCAUACAUCCAAUCGCAUGCUGAAGAUACUUAGAUUCCAUCUUAACAUCAAAUUGAUUUAUACCGCACAAAGGUAUUUAUGUGGUGGGUAAUAUCUUGUCUUCUUUGUGUUUCUUUAACAGUAAGGAAGACCUAUUGGAUUUGAGUAAGAAGAUAUUUUAAUUUAUGCUGGAUGUCUCUGUAUUACAACCACUCAUAGUCUAGAAAGUCAAGCCCUCACUGUAGACUCUCACUCUUUUUUAAAUGUGUGUGUGUGUGUGUGUGUGUGUGUGUGUGUGUGUGUGUAUGUUCUUAGGUACAUGUAUGUAGAGGGUGUAUUCACUUCCUUUGAGACAGGGCCUCCCAUUGGCCUAGAGUUCACCAGACAGGUUAGACUUGAACCAUAAGGAUCCCUUGUCUCUGCCUCCCCUGUGCAGAGGUAAUAAGUGUACACCACCAAGCCUGGACUUUCUGUGUGCAUCAGAAUCCAGCAAGACAAGUACUUUACAACUGAGACACCCCCGUUCCAUCUUCUUGAUUAAUUCUUUAGUUACACUAAAGUAUGCAGAUGUAUAUUGAGGGUAGAACUUAUCAAGUUCCUUUUGUACCAUAGUUGUUUGUCUGAAGUGCUGAGUUCUGUCCUGAGUUUUCACGUAUUUGGGCUCUAGUGAUGACUCCACCCACCCAUGGAAGCCAUGUGAUCUAAUAAAUAGUUACUGAGAUGGGAUCUGGGGUUUGAUCGAGUUCAGAUCCCAUUUCUGCCCCAGACUAUUUUGUGAGUCCAGGCAAACCACACUUUAUCUGUGGAGCUUCACAGGAGCAUCUCUGAGCCCUAGCCACCGACCGCCUGAGUGACACCCUCACUGCCACACUCCAUUAAAACAACCAGCCCCAGCGGAGAACCACUAACCUAAAUAAACUGGUAUUUCCCCAAGAUCCUCAUGGAGUGAGGCACAGGCAUGUGUGAAGCACACUGCCGCUGGUGUCGGGCACUUACCUGUGUCGCUCUAUCUUGAUGAGCUAAAGUACUUAGAUGUGUGUGACCGCUGGGGUUGAAACCAUGAGAAACUGGCACCAAUUCUCAAAGCUCUGAAGAAUGGGGCAGGGUGGUGGUGGUACUAAAGCAAGGUUAGGAAACAUCUUUUCAUUUCGUGCUUUUCUUUACUAUUUGAACUUUCACAAUUUGCCUAUGUUCAUUAUGCACUAUGCACUAUGCACUAUGCACGAGCAUUAUGUUCGAAAGCCUAGAAAGUAGUUAACUUUGUUUAACCUGACAGCUCUGAGCCUACAUAGUUUCAUCACCUUCUGAAGACGGUACUAUGGAAAACACUGUUUACUUUCUCUUAGCCACUUUUGGUGGCUCAGUGAUUUUAUUGGAGUCUGAGACAGCUCUAGGGAAUUUCAGGAUUGACCACCCAAAUAACGUCAGCAGAACCACUCUUCACAUGCACCAAAAGGUCCAAAGUUUAUUAAUCUUGCCUCUUCUUGCCCAAGUUCUGCUGCUGGAAAUACAGUUACUCUUUCCAAGCACUUCUAGCUGUCCUGAUCUUUUCCCUUCCCGUGUCCUAUAAACCUGGAUUCCAACUAUUUUUGUGAUGAUGUUCCAGCAUUUGCUGGUGCCCUCCUCUACUCCUUUCAGUGUAAGUCAGAGAUUGGUCAUUUUUAUACUAUAAUAACCAUUUGCGGGAAUCAUUUAGUGCUACUCUAAUACAAAUGCUGUGCCCAAAAUUGCUAAAGGCACACGUUACUUAGUGCUACCUCAUAAAGAAGAUAAUCAUGGGCUUGGUGUGGCACAAGUCUUUCAUCUGGGGAGGCAGAGGCAGGCAGGUCUCUGUGAAUUCAAGCCCAGCCUGGUCUACAUGGUGAGUUCCAGGCCAGCCAGUGCUACACAGUGUGCACACAUACAUCUCACUAUGUUUCACGGUCUCACAAAAACUAGGCAAGCAACAACAAAGGACAAUGCUAAUGUCUCCAUCGUACUGCUGGGAAAGCUGAGCCCCAGAGAGCCAAGUCUGCAAGCGUGGGUCUGUGAUUCUAGCCUGUGCCUUUUCUCUGCUAUGUGCUGUUCCCUUACUCUAUUCUUUUCAGGUCUUCUGUUUCUUCACCAGCCUUUUUUCCCUGCUAUUUUAAACACCCAAAGGGACAUCUAUCUUCCUGUGUCAGAAGUGAUCAGUGGUUAACAAAAAGUGCUAUGGACAUGCCCCUUAACAAAGCUUUGUUGUGGAGAUUUGAGUCUGAUCUCUUCUACUACAUUUUUGGAACAGAUUUGCCAGAAAGCUCGGCCUGGUUGCAGCCUGCUAUUUUAAUCUCAGCUGAAGAGCUACAACUGCUGAAAUGAUUAAAUUAAAAUGCAAUUCAGUCUUGAGAAAGUUACAUGUCUAAAGGAAUAAAACAUACAAUUUCUCAUAUGCGGCUUCUCAAUAUUCCAGCCAUUUGAGAGCCAUUAGGGCGUCUUUGUUCCUAGGAAUGAGAAGGAUUUAUUCAUGUCUGCAUUAACUCAUCUCAGCUGCAUAUUCACUGCCCACCCCCAAAUUUGUGUAAGUUUUUAAGAGCCUGAGAUACAAAUGCCUUUUGUUGGAGAACGGAAGACGCCAAGUGAGCCUAGCGCUUCUCGUCUCCUCAUCCAGUUACUCAGGGCACAGCUCUCUGGGCACUUCUUCAAAGCCUCGGGCAGCAAUGAGUAGCCCCGCUACUGGACAGGCGGCAUUUCUGGCUUUUAAGAUCCUUGAAGCAACCAGUUAAGAAGCAGUGAUGACUAGUUCAAUUGUUUUUACCGUGCUUGUUUUGACUGCUGUAUCAGGUCAUUCCUUCAGCAGUUUUAGUUAUUCUAGUCAUCCCCCACCCCCACGUCCCAUCCCCGUUUUCCCAACACCCUCCACCCCUGCUUAAAAAUUGCAUAAGUCACUGGUUUCCAAAGAAUCUAGAGGGUAGAGGUCAACAAGAUGACUCAGCCAGUAAAGGCUCGUCCAGCCAACCUGAGCUCACAAUCCCUGAGCCCUUGUGGCAGAAGGAGAAAAUUUACUACGAGGAGUUCUUGAACUUCAACAUGCAUGUGCUGCUACCCCUAAAUAAUCGAGUCUUUGGUUGUUAGCUUAUUCUGUUCUAAGUAACUCGUGGGGGAAGCUGGUCCCAAGCAGCUUCUUGCAAUGAAGGAGCUUCAUGGUCACGUACAUUUGGAAGUGAGUUCUGUAUCGACUCUUGGGUGGUUAGUGUUAGCAUGGGGCAGCAAGAGCUUCUGGGAGGUCAGGGUAGAGAAACAUUUAAUGUGUUUAGUCUAGGUUUUUGUUUUGCUUUGUUUUGUUUUAGAACUAAAGAGCAGCAAUCCACCAGCACCCCCCUUUCAUUUCUUCUCAAGUAAAAAGAAAUGGUGCCCUCAGAACAAGCCCAGAGGUAUGUUUUCUGGGCGAUUCUAAAUCCAGUCAAGCAAGUUAACAGUGAAGAUUAAUAAUCAUGGUCAUUUUCCUCCUCCUUAACCCCCUUCUCUCUCCCUCCCUCCUCUCUCCCUCCCUCCUCUCUCCCCUCCCUGACUCUCCCCUUCCCGCUCGUUCCAGAAUGACUUCAGAGUUCUCCAACACACAACUCCAACUUACCCACUGGCAGACCAAACCCUAGGACCAUUCACCCUCUAGGCUUAACUAGUUCUAUGGAUCUAUAGCUUUGGUCAAAGUUUCCUGCUUCCUCUUCUGCCUAAAUAAUAGGAUUUUGUUUGUUUGUUUACUUUGUUUUGCUCUUGUUUUCCUGUGCUGGAACAUGCUAGGCAAGUUCUUACCAUUGAGCUACAUCACAGCUGCCUCUUAGCUCAGAAGACUUACCAGAGCCAGUGAGUUGAUGCUGACAUGUCUUACGGUCUCUCUUUGUUCAGGUGUGCUGUGCUGGUUAGUUUGUGUCAAAUUGACACAAGCUAGAGUUUCCCAAAAAGAGUUCCUUCAAUUGAGGAACUGCAUCCAGACUGGCCUGUGGCUAUGUCUGUGGGGCAUUUUUUAAAUUAAUGGUUGAUGUGAAGGGCCCAGUCCACUGUGGGCACUUCUAGCUCUAGGCUGGUGGUCUUGGGUUCUACAAAAAAGCAGGCUGAGCAAACCAUGAGGAGCAAGCCAGAAGGCAACACCCCUCCAUGGCCUCUGCAACAGCUCCUGCCUCCAGGUUCCUGCCUGACUUCCAUUUUGAGUUCCUGUCUUGAGUUCAUCAGUGAAGUACUGUUACCUGAAACUGUGAGAUGAAAUAAACCAAGUCCUCCUCAAGUGAACCCAGAACACAGACUUGCACUCACACACUGUGUUUCCCGAGACUCUGCACAGUGACCCUGAAUGCUCCUCUGACCUCUCUGUUUUUGAUGACCUUGACAGUUUUAAGGGGCACUGGUUAGAAUCCCACCGGCACUGGCUCCUUCUUAUCCACUUUGAUUAACUACCGGGAUGUUCUGUAGUUUGUCCAUAGACUUAUGACUGACUGCAGUUUCUUUGUUGAGGGUCUCAAGAAUUCCCGGUUCUUCUUCAGCUAAACUUACACAAGAAAUGUGCGGUGUGUGUGUGUGUGUGUGUGUGUGUGUGUGUGUGUGUGUGUGUGUUUGUGUGUAUAUGUGCAUGUGUGCAUGUGUGUGCACAUGUGUGUAUGUGUGUGUGUGCUAGUGUGCAUAUGUGUGCAGAUGCAUGUGCACAUGUGUGCAUGAGUAUGAAGAGGGCAGGGGACAACUGUAAGAGCUAUCCACUUAUUUAUUUUGAGGCAGAAUAUCUCACUGGCCUGAACCUUGCCGAGUAGGCUAUACUGCCUGGUCAGGAAAUCCUAGGUAAUCUGUCUAUCUGUAUCUCCCCAGAGCUAGGAGACUACAAGUAGGCAGGAUUUGUUUUCUUUUUUUUUCUUUCUUUUUUUCCGGAGCUGAGGACCGAACCCAGGGCCUUGCGCUUUCUAGGCAAGCGCUCUACCACUGAGCUAAAUCCCCAACCCUUGUUUUGUUUUUUAAUGCGAUUCUAGGGAUUGAACUGUUCUGGACCAUGCCCCUGGUCCUUAACAAGAUUUUGAAUGCCCCCCCGCAUUGGUUGUUUCCUAAGGAAAGCAGCUAUCCUAAUUCUUACUUUCUUUAAUAUAUUGCCUUGCUAUAUUCCCCGGACUGGCCAUGAACUUGAGAGUCUCCUGCUUUUGCCUCUGGGCUGAUGGGAUUAGUGGCCCUUACCACCACCUGCGCCCUGCUUCCUUAAUCACCGUCUCCAGCCGGCCUUAUCGAUACUUGUUGCCUUUUUCCCAAAGGCUGUCCGCUUUCUUAAGGUCAACUGCAGAGAAAACGGGUGUGCAUAAGUGUCUGUCAAACUUUUCCCUACCGAAGAUAUUUAACUUACUUGAAGCAAAUUUGUGGUCAUCCGUCCUGUUUGCCGCCUCCCCUCCCUGCUCUCCUUUAAGUAUCUUUCUUUUUCCUUUGUCUCAGUCUGUCUUCCUUCUUCUCUUCCGCUGAAGUACGGAGAAUGGAGAAAACCCUAAACUCCCCCAGAACAUUUGUGCUUGCCUAACCCAAGAGUUUCUGACCUGACACUGUACUUGCUAAUUGGAUGAAGACAGGAAAGAGGCAGGGCUUAGCUGGAUAUGCACGAAGAG